AGUGAACGCUGGCGGUAAGCCUAACACAUGCAAGUCGAACGGCAGCACAGUAAGAGCUUGCUCUUACGGGUGGCGAGUGGCGGACGGGUGAGGAAUACAUCGGAAUCUACUUUUUCGUGGGGGAUAACGUAGGGAGACUUACGCUAAUACCGCAUACGACCUACGGGUGAAAGCAGGGGAUCUUCGGACCUUGCGCGAUUGAAUGAGCCGAUGUCGGAUUAGCUAGUUGGCGGGGUAAAGGCCCACCAAGGCGACGAUCCGUAGCUGGUCUGAGAGGAUGAUCAGCCACACUGGAACUGAGACACGGUCCAGACUCCUACGGGAGGCAGCAGUGGGGAAUAUUGGACAAUGGGCGCAAGCCUGAUCCAGCCAUACCGCGUGGGUGAAGAAGGCCUUCGGGUUGUAAAGCCCUUUUGUUGGGAAAGAAAAGCAGCAGGUUAAUACCCCGCUGUUCUGACGGUACCCAAAGAAUAAGCACCGGCCAACUUCGUG
rnacentral:rRNA from 1 species